rnacentral:misc_RNA from 1 species
GAUGAAGAACGUAGCGAAAUGCGAUAAGUAAUGCGAAUUGCAGAAUUCCGUGAGUCAUCGAAUCUUUGAACGCACAUUGCGCCCUCUGGUAUUCCGGAGGGCAUGCCUGUCUGAGCGUCAUUGUCAACCCUCAAGCUCAGCUUGCUGUUGGGUCCCCGUCGUUGCUUUAACGGCGGACCCGAAAGGUAAUGGCAGAGUCCGUGAGACCCUAGACGCAGCGAGCUUCUAGCACGCGUCUGGACGUUUUUCGGGCUCGGUCUUAACUAGAUGAUAACUUCCGAUUGACCUCAGAUCAGGUAGGGAUACCGGCUGAACUUAAGCAUAUCAAUAAGCGGAGGA